UACGAAGGGGGCUAGCGUUGCUCGGAAUCACUGGGCGUAAAGCGCACGUAGGCGGAUCUUUAAGUCAGGGGUGAAGUCCUGGAGCUCAACUCCAGAACUGCCUUUGAUACUGGGGAUCUCGAGUCCGGGAGAGGUGAGUGGAACUCCGAGUGUAGAGGUGAAAUUCGUAGAUAUUCGGAAGAACACCAGUGGCGAAGGCGACUACCUGGCCUGUUCUUGACGCUGAGGCGCGAAAGCUAGGGGAGCAAACGGG
rnacentral:rRNA from 1 species